UACAGAGGUCUCAAGCGUUGUUCGGAUUCAUUGGGCGUAAAGGGUGCGUAGGUGGUUGGGUAAGUCAAAUGUGAAAUCCCGGAGCUCAACUCCGGAACCGCAUUCGAUACUGCCCGGCUCGAGGAUUGGAGAGGAGACUGGAAUUCACGGUGUAGCAGUGUAAUGCGUAGAGAUCGUGAGGAACACCCGUGGCGAAGGCGGGUCUCUGGACAAUUCCUGACACUGAGGCACGAAGGCCAGGGGAGCAAACGCG
rnacentral:rRNA from 1 species